rnacentral:miRNA from 1 species
AUGCAAUUGGAGAACAGAUGGGUU